UCUAUUACUUAACCAGUCAAGCAGUUCGGGAAAAUUAAUUCCGGUAUGGUUUCAGUUUUAUAUUAUGUAGCUGAGUACAUCGAUCCCGAAGUUAGUUUAGCGGCGGGAGAAAUAACGUUUGGCAUGAUUAGCAAGAACUGAAAAUGAAACGGAAGUAGAAACGAAGAGGUCACAAAGAAAAAUACACCGAAACAUUGAUGCUACAUCGAUGAGCUGUGUUAUGUGCAUUGUAUAAGAAAAAAGAAGCGGACUGGCGGCCGGAGGGGAAUCAAACUUGGACUCCUGCAUAGCUUGUAAGCUGCUCUAAUCCACCCAUGCCGACAUCCUGGUCAGCACAAUCCAAACCACUAAGUGUAUCUGGUCACCAGCAAUUGGACCUGCCUGAGCUUCUUGUAUCUGAUCACCAGCAAUUGAACUUGCCUAUCUGCCAUUUUCAUCUAGUUGGAAAUGAUGUAGUUUACUCAAUGGUGUGUAGACUGUCAACAUGUGAAACCUACGUAGUCUCCUCUGUUAAAGAUCACUAAUGGUGGAUAAACAAUGAGUGAUGCAGACUGUUCACCAAAAGGGAGUUUUGACACCUGUAUGCCUAUAUUUCUACCAAUCACCCUGUUAUCUUUUUUGUCAUGUUCUUUGGACAGGUAAAAUAACAAGGUAAAACAAGUAGAAAGAAAAGGCUGGAGCAAAGAUGAGAAAAGCACCAUAUGCCAAGGGUUUGUAAGGAGAGUAGCAGAUCAGAAACCUUUGACUAGAGAAGAUGUGAAUGGAGACAGAUUCUGAUGAUGCCAUCAUUGGGAGGCAGGAUGACUAUAAGACACUAAUUCCUCAUCCAUAAAGAUUUCUACAAGUGGUUCAUUUGGAUGAUUAUUUUGGACAUUCCCAAGAAACUAUAAUUCCUAACUAGACCAAACUUGUAUGAAAUGAAUACAGAUUUCAUUACAAGACGUGAGUGUGUUCAAAGGAAACAGCCAAUCAAAAUGAACUUAGUGUGCAUGGUGCAACAUCCUGGAUGGUGUGUAGUAUGUUUGUUAACAUGUGAAGCCUACGUGUAUUUCAGGGAGUUGUCUCCCAUGUUUAAGAUCAGUAAUGGCGGAUAUACAGUGCAGUAUGCUGUCUGGUCAUCAACAGAGAGUUUUGACACCCGUAUUUCUACCAAUCACCUCUGUAACCUUUGUUGUGUUCAUCAGAUAGAUUCACCAGAUGCAGCUGCUCCAUCUCCAUCACUGGUGAAAUGGGAAAUGACUAGUGGACGGUCAUCACUUUGUAACUCACUAUUUUGCAGCCCAUCUCUUCUCAUCUUCAGUGGUGGCCUUUGGAGGAAUGGUUGCAGUGCAGUCUUCGUGUCUUAGGCAGUUAACUUCCUUUCCUUUGCUUCUCAGUUUUUAGCUCAACUCAACGAAAUUGGGGAACCUUAUGUGAUACCCUCAGCAUUGGUGUUGGUGUCCCAGGUUAAAGUUUUGGGAGCAGAGUUCUUUUUAACUAUGAAAAUGAAGAACUGGAGAGGAUCUUGAUUGAUUUUUCUUGAAUGAGACACAAGUGCCUUCCAUUUGUGAUACUAAAGGAAGCUGUUACAAAUUUAGUUUGCCACAGUACUGACCUGACAUAUGAGGACAGGAAUAAAAGAUGUUUUAAAAUAGAAAUGUCUAUAAUUUAACUUAAAAGUAUGAUUAACUAAGAUCACAAACAACAAAUCAGUUGCAUUGCAAAUGUACAUAUAGCAUGUUUGCACUUACGAGGGAAUAUUCACUCCCUUUCAGUGAAAGUGUUGGCAUGCAGGUCAAUUAUUGUCACCAAAUCGUCUGUCAUAUUCUCAGCAUGCAGCUGUAGAAUUUGAUCAGAAAGAUUAGCUACACUAUUCUAUGUAUAAGUCUUAUGUAUAAAUCUAAGACAUUUUGGUUUCUAGUCACCAGUCUAUAUUUAUAAUCAUUGUAGUGUAAAAAAAUUCUGGUCCAUAAGUCGAUUGAGAUUUUAUGUUUUAGUGAAAUGUUUUGUUUAUUUAUUGCCAACUCGCUGUAAAUCAAAUGUAGUUAAAAAUUUCAGCACUUUCAUUGUGUUUAUGCAAUUUAUUGUUCUUCAAUGUCAGUGACAUGUAUAUCAUUUUAUGAUGCACAAUCAGUAUUAUUGUACCAGAUUUAUACUUGUCUCUUAUUGAUCUGCAUUUUUUGGGGCUAAUUAAUGUUUAAAUCCUACUGUGAACGUCUUCUUUUCACUUGGUGCCAGUGCUUGAAAGAAACCAGCCUGUCAAUAAUUUUUAAGAAGAUGCUGAGAUUAGCUUUACAUCGUAAAACAAACUGAACACUGUAUAUAGUAUAGCAUAUCAUUGUUAAAGAUGUAUGUGUGCAUGUGUGUUGUAUUGUAGAUAUAAUUCUUGUAUUACAUCAUGUAUAUUUCAUAGAAGAUUUUGUUAGAAGCUCUGUUUUCAUAAUUUAAUUAUUUUCAUGUACAUAAAGACUUUGAUCGUU